GUGAAGCCCUUCGGGGUGGAUCAGUGGCGAACGGGUGAGUAACACGUGGGCAAUCUGCCCUGCACUCUGGGACAAGCCCUGGAAACGGGGUCUAAUACCGGAUAUUACCUUCCUCUGCAUGGGGGUUGGUGGAAAGCUCCGGCGGUGCAGGAUGAGCCCGCGGCCUAUCAGCUUGUUGGUGGGGUAAUGGCCUACCAAGGCGACGACGGGUAGCCGGCCUGAGAGGGCGACCGGCCACACUGGGACUGAGACACGGCCCAGACUCCUACGGGAGGCAGCAGUGGGGAAUAUUGCACAAUGGGCGAAAGCCUGAUGCAGCGACGCCGCGUGAGGGAUGACGGCCUUCGGGUUGUAAACCUCUUUCAGCAGGGAAGAAGCGCAAGUGACGGUACCUGCAGAAGAAGCACCGGCUAACUACGUGCCAGCAGCCGCGGUAAUACGUAGGGUGCGAGCGUUGUCCGGAAUUAUUGGGCGUAAAGAGCUCGUAGGCGGCCUGUCGCGUCGGAUGUGAAAGCCCGGGGCUUAACCCCGGGUCUGCAUUCGAUACGGGCAGGCUAGAGUGUGGUAGGGGAGAUCGGAAUUCCUGGUGUAGCGGUGAAAUGCGCAGAUAUCAGGAGGAACACCGGUGGCGAAGGCGGAUCUCUGGGCCAUUACUGACGCUGAGGAGCGAAAGCGUGGGGAGCGAACAGGAUUAGAUACCCUGGUAGUCCACGCCGUAAACGUUGGGAACUAGGUGUUGGCGACAUUCCACGUCGUCGGUGCCGCAGCUAACGCAUUAAGUUCCCCGCCUGGGGAGUACGG
rnacentral:rRNA from 1 species